AUUAGGGUUUUCUCAGCAGCUGUUUCUAGUGUUAGUAGUUUUUCCUAUCAUGCUAGUUUCUUGGCUCGGUUUAAUCGGGCAAAUGAAAUUAGUGAACCUAGAAUAGUUUCUAACGAGCAUGAUGGUGCUAGAGGUGAAUCUUCAAAUGAAAUUAGCGAACCUAGAAUAGUUUCUAACGAGCACGAUGGUACUAGUGGUGAAUCUUUGGUUAGUAAUCAACUAUGGAGUGCAGACAUGUGGGCUGCUAAGGAAUUGAGGGAGGCAUGAAGAGGCAGAAAGGCUUUUGGAAUGUUAU
rnacentral:lncRNA from 1 species